rnacentral:rRNA from 1 species
UUUAAAGUGGUACGCGAGCUGGGUUUAGAACGUCGUGAGACAGUUCGGUCCCUAUCUGCCGUGGGCGCUGGAGAACUGAGGGGGGCUGCUCCUAGUACGAGAGGACCGGAGUGGACGCAUCACUGGUGUUCGGGUUGUCAUGCCAAUGGCACUGCCCGGUAGCUAAAUGCGGAAGAGAUAAGUGCUGAAAGCAUCUAAGCACGAAACUUGCCCCGAGAUGAGUUCUCCCUGACUCCUUGAGAGUCCUGAAGGAACGUUGAAGACGACGACGUUGAUAGGCCGGAUGUGUAAGCGCAGCGAUGCGUUGAGCUAACCGGUACUAAUGAACCGUGAGGCUUAACCUUACAACGCCGAAGCUGUU